CUUAUGACCUGGGCUACACACGUGCUACAAUGGCAUAUACAACGAGUCGCCAACCCGCGAGGGUGCGCUAAUCUCUUAAAGUAUGUCUCAGUUCGGAUUGUAGGCUGCAACUCGCCUACAUGAAGUCGGAAUCGCUAGUAAUCGCGGAUCAGCACGCCGCGGUGAAUACGU
rnacentral:rRNA from 1 species